CUCCCAAGGAGGAAGGAUCUCUAUCUGGAGAUCACUUCUCUUGGAGCCCUUCUGCGAGCAUAGGAUAUGGCAGUUUUUAUUGAUGUAAAUCCAGGCGUGGGGCCUCCAAAAAAGAAGAACAUGGAGCUGCUGGAGUGAGUCUAUAGGAAGGUCUCCAAGAGCAGCUAGCAGAAUACAAGACCCUCCAAGGACUGAAAUUCAGUAUGUUAUAAAGCCUGUGAGCCAAGACCACAUCCAUCACCAUGGUUCAGCAGAUCUUCCUGUGUGCAUCUUCAGGCUUUGGACAAGCAUGGGUCUUUUCUUGCUUUGAGAACCUCAUCCUCCUUACAGAAGUGCUGACCGAGUGCAGUUCGGUGUACUCUUUACAGCAGGAGGCACUGUGACAGUUUAGGACAUUGCUCCUUAAUGUAAUUUGAAAUGAAAGAGAUCACUCUCUCCUUGUGUGUGUUCUUGUCUAUCUUAUGUCUCUGGUGUUUUUCUUUACAGACAAAAGCCAGG
ensembl:lncRNA